rnacentral:rRNA from 1 species
UACGUAGGGACCAAACGUUGUUCGGAUUUACUGGGCGUAAAGGGCGCGUAGGCGGCUUAACAAGUCACUUGUGAAAUCUCCGGGCUUAACUCGGAACGGCCAAGUGAAACUGUCAAGCUAGAGUGCAGAAGGGGCAAUCGGAAUUCUUGGUGUAGCGGUGAAAUGCGUAGAUAUCAAGAGGAACACCUGAGGUGAAGACGGGUUGCUGGGCUGACACUGACGCUGAGGCGCGAAAGCCAGGGGAGCAAACGGG